UGGGGAAUAUUGCGCAAUGGGGGGAACCCUGACGCAGCAACGCCGCGUGAAGGAAGAAGGCCUUCGGGUUGUAAACUUCUUUGAUUGGGGACGAAUAAUGACGGUACCCAAAAAACAAGCCACGGCUAACUACGUGCCAGCAGCCGCGGUAAUACGUAGGUGGCGAGCGUUGUCCGGAAUUACUGGGUGUAAAGGGCGUGUAGGCGGGGGAGCAAGUCAGAUGUGAAAUCCCGGGGCUCAACUCCGGAGUUGCAUCUGAAACUGUUUUUCUUGAGUGCUGGAGAGGAAAGCGGAAUUCCUAGUGUAGCGGUGAAAUGCGUAGAUAUUAGGAGGAACACCAGUGGCGAAGGCGGCUUUCUGGACAGUAACUAACGAUGAGGCGCGAAAGCGUGGGGAGCAAACAGG
rnacentral:rRNA from 2 species